ensembl:processed_transcript
AUUUUUGACAGUCUAUUGGUCCAUGCUCUCAACACUUCCCGCCCACCAGCGCCCUGUGUAGAGAGGCCAGCCAUCUCUCGUUAUUCAGUGAUCCAAGAGCCGGGAAACUAUUGGUCGACAGAGGCCGUCAGACCGGACUGUAGUGAUCGGUGAUUGAUGAAAGACUUGGACAGCUUACCAAAUAGGGAGGCUAAGGAGUAGAACACCCCGAGGAACAAGCAAACCCCCUUGCUAAGGCACGCAUGGAGGGCCUUCUUAGAUCCUGAGUCUCCCUGGGCUAUUGCUUACUGAGACAGAUUGAAUCAUUAAUGCUUGGUGAGUGGAGACUCCUCACAGCAAAGGGAGCAAAGUCAGCAAUGGGAAGAUGGGCCGACAAGCAUCUCAGGAUGAUGCGAUGAGCAAACUGGCUGAGCAUCAUCUUGAGUUCUGUUGGUAAUCAUGGUGAGGCCCAAGAUGAAGGCAGCUGAACAAAAGAGUUAUGAGUGCUAACAAGCACAUCCUCAAGUUCAUGAAUGACCAGUGGUUUCCUCUUCACUUUAAAUUACCAGGUGAGCCCACACAUUCUUUCUUUCUGGGUUCUUUCCCUUUGGCAAGGCCUAUUAAGAUAAUCAUGUGUCAAAUUAUGUAUAAGAUUCAUAAGUAUGAUUUUUUUAUUGGCAAGGAAGUAUCCUUUAGGUUUACUCCCAUUAUUCUAUUUGUCAAAUAAGGUUGCUGGGUAUCUUUGAAUUCAGUAACUAUAAAUUCAAUUUAAACUAAACUAAAACCAGGGAAUAUCAUUGUGUCAACUAGCAGAGUACAGGGAAGAGAAUGGCUUCAGGAAAAGCUGCUCUAAGGACUCAAACGAAAUUGUUUUUCUUUUUGAACUUGUUUCUACAUUGUUUCUUUUCUUUUCUUUUCUUUUUUUUUUUUUUUAUUAGUGACAGUUGCCAAUAGGUCCAGGGCACUAUUUUAUAGCUUCAAAAACUCUGGCACCUCUUGAAAAACAUUCAGACUAGCUUAGAUUGGUUGUCAUAUCAGCUUGUGCAUUUCCCUGAGCUGUUCACUGUAGCCAGGGAAGGUGGGGCUCUGAUUACCUCAGCUUGAGAGUCUUUCAACAGCAUGUGGAAGAUUAGCAGUAAAGAAGAAUGCUUUCCAAAGAAUAUCAGUGGUUUAUUACCAGGGGUAGAGAAAAUUUUUCCUGCAACUCAUGAGGUAAGCUGUUAGUCAAAGAUAGAACAGAUCUCACCAAGAGCAAUAGGUAGUAGAGCCCCAAGCCCUCUCCUUACUGCAGGCUUUCUCCUUUCAAGCCUGUUAGCUCCUUCUAGGUGGACAAUCAAUACUUGGGUUGAGUUGAAGUUGAUCCAGACUCAUUCUUUCUCUUGGUUUGCUCUCACCGCUCCUUGAUUUCAUUUUCAGAAUUAUGUCUAUCCACACAGGGCAUAGAACAAGAAUGUUAGUGCUUCUGAAAAGAAAACUCAUCUACCGUAUUUCAACUCUAGCACACGCCCUUCCCAUGCCUAUCAAACAUUCCAAAGUUUCUUUAGAGAAAGAGAAACAGAAGUCGCUGAACAAUCACUGGUUCUUAAAAGGAAACCCUGGUGGAAAGUUGGGAAAAAACUGUACCAGAUGGAGAAAAUGAAUGGAUGGAAAACCUUAAUCUGCUUCAGGAUGAGACAGAAAAGGCAACAACUCAUUCACAGUGCCCUGGUGGGGGGGGGGGCAGCUCAAAGCACUUUAAUCAUUGAUGAAUGUGAUUGAACUCUUUCCGCUACUCAAGAAAGACUGAAGUGUGCACGAGGGCUCAUCCUGAGCUGGCUCCCUGCCACAGUCGACCUUGGACUCUGCAUAAUUAUCAAUCCUUUUAUAGUCUACUUCCACUAUUUUAAAAAGCUUCAUUUUGACAAGAAAGUCUGAUAGAGACACGUGUGGUAAGUAAAGCCCAGCAUUCGGAAUUAAGACACUGGAACAGAGCCAGAAGUUUGUGAUGGGCACUGCAUUAGUGGACAGCUGAGUAAUCCCUUGUGUUUUUAUCAUCAGGAGGCACAAAGUAAAGGAAGCUGGAAAAAAACCCAGUUGUGAAUGCUAAUAAGCACACCCUUGUGUUCAUGAACUUGGGUAAUUGAUCAGCAGUUUCCCUGAGCUACCAAUGUUUGCUCUACUCUUUCACUGGUUAGGGCAUCCAUUCCAAGAGUGCCUCCUAGCUAUAUUGUCCCGUUAUCAUGGAGGAUGUCCAUGGACAAACAUAUGGUACUACAGAUGCCGAUAUGUUAUAAUGGAAGCCAAUAGAUGAAACAUUUCGCUUUGGAUGAAUAUUGGAAGACAUUUUUGGUUAGUUAAGAUGUUUUAUCUCUUAAUCUGGCGGUAUGAUACAAAGCUCACUUGAAAGGUUGAGAACACUGCUCAUCCACACAGCUAGAGUGAUCAGUAUCUUAAUGAUUACAUCUAGGAACAUUUCCUACUAUCUGUAAGAUAGAACAGUUGGAUGGCAGAUCUAGAACAGAGAGGACCUGGAGAAAGAAUCCAGCAUAGAUCUGGACUAUCACAAAUUACUUAACUUAAUGUGUGUUAGUAAGUUCUCCAUUGCUGUCAUAAAUAGCUGACAACCUGAAAAAUCCCAACUUAAUGGUGGAACGAUUAAUUUUGGUUCCUGAAGCUCCAAAGGCUUCAGUCUAUGAUUAUAUGUAUCCAUUGCUUCUGGACAUGUGAUGAGGCAAAAAGAAAGAAAGAAAGAGGACAUUCUGAAGCAUGUUCCCAGUGAUCUAUUUCCUCCAUAGGUCUACCUAAUUGCCUUAAUUAGAGUUUCUAUUGCUGGGACAAAACACCAUGCUUUUGAGCAACUUGGAGAGGAAAAGGUUUAUUUGUACUUAAAAUUCUCAGGUCAUAUAGAUGAGUCAGUACAGGAACUCAAGAUAGGAAGAAACCUGAAGGCAGGAAUUGAAAUAGAAGCCAUAGAAGAGUGCUGCUUACUAGAUUUAUCUUCAUGGCUUGCUAAUUUUACUUUGUUAUACAACUCCAGGGCCACUUAUCUAGGGAAGGUACUACCCACAAUAGGCUGGGGCCUCCCUUAGCAAUCAUUAAAAAAAAUUCUCCACAGGUCACUCUGGUAGGGCAUUUUCUAAAUUGAUAUCUUUCUUCCAAAAUGACUCUAGCCUGUGUCAAGUUGAUGUAAGAACUAGCCAGCAUACUCCUAAACUUUCUACCACAUACUAAUAAUACCAUCAGACUAAGAAUCUAUCAAUUGAUACAACAGAUCACUUUCCAAUCACUUUCCAACGGGCUCACUUCUAAACACUGCUUCUCUGUGUACCAAGCCUUCAAUACUUGAAUUUUUAGGGGUACUCUUUAAGGUUAAAUCAUAACACUGUGGAUGCUGAAUUUUUUCAGGGAGGUAUAGGUGAUCAUUUUGUUAGAUGUCUAGUUAGAUAUUAGCAGGCUUGAAAGGACAAUAGGGAUGGACCUGUCUCUUAUAAUCAGCUGUUUAUAAAAACAAGGCCUAGAUUGCAGGCCUCGAAUUCUCUAGUUACACUGGUCAGAUAAAUGGAGCCUCAAUAAUAAUUUCAGCUCUAAGAGGCCUUGUGACAUCUUGACUUUUCUGAGUGGUCACUAAUUGGUAAGUAUUCAAACCAGACUAUAGGAUCCUUAAACCUUACAAGAUUGUAUAGGAGGCUUUCUGAUAAAAACCCAAACCAGUCUAAGGAUAUAACAUGGCUCAUUUAUUUAAUUCAAGUCAAUCACCUAGACAGGAAAAUAUCCUCCAGAAAAGCUAUUUGAUUCAGAGAUCUUUACAUAUAGUUUGAAAUCUGCCUGAACUGUAGACUGGGGGCAAUGUAAUGGUCUCUUUGGGCAUCAUUCACUAGCUCCUCUUGACAGUACUUCGCUGAGCUCUGUAAUAAACUCUAUCUUUU